CAGCUAGACCACAAAUAUCAGAUGAGAGCUCAGGUGAAAAGCAGUUGCAAGUCAUUGUUCUGAGAAAAUGCUCUGAAAGGGAGAACCCAAGGCCAUGACAUCACCCACAGACAUCUGCAAACCAAGACUGUAUGCUGUUUGUGCCUGUUGCCUCUUGUCCUGACACUGGGCACUACUGAAAAGAGUCUGGCUCCAGCUUCUUUGAACCCUCGCUUCGGAGUACCGUAGAAGAGCUUCGGUCUGGAGAACAGCCGGUGACAAGACAGGUGUUACUGUAGAGAGAAUUGAUGGAGUCCUCGUAAGUUGACUUUGCUACUUCCAGAGAUGAUGCUGAGCUGGAGUUUGGCCCA